GUCCAGACUCCUACGGGAGGCAGCAGUCGGGAAUAUUGCGCAAUGGAGGAAACCCUGACGCAGUGACGCCGCGUAUAGGAAGAAGGUUUUCGGAUUGUAAACUAUUUUCGUUAGGGAAGAGAAAGGACAGUACCUAAGGAGGAAGCUCCGGCUAACUACGUGCCAGCAGCCGCGGUAAUACGUAGGGAGCGAGCGUUAUCCGGAAUUAUUGGGUGUAAAGGGUGCGUAGACGGGAAAGCAAGUUAGUUGUGAAAUCCCCCGGCUUAACUGAGGAACUGCAACUAAAACUACUUUUCUUGAGUGCAGGAGAGGUAAGUGGAAUUCCUAGUGUAGCGGUGAAAUGCGUAGAUAUUAGGAGGAACACCAGUUGCGAAGGCGAUUCUCUGGACUGUAACUGACGCUGAGGCUCGAAAGCGUGGGGAGCAAACAGGAUUAGAUACCCCCGUACAU
rnacentral:rRNA from 1 species